AAAAUCUCAAACAAAUAGGAAAUGGCACAAUUAAUUCCAAGAAAAAAUCAGGUGCAAACUAGACACAUAAGAGAAGGUUCAUGCAAAAGUUGAGGUCAUUUGGAGGUCAAUAGGCAUGGAUACAAAAAUCAGAAAGUUGCACAAUCAUGGUGUGACACAAGUUGUCACACCCUACUUCAGAAAAUCACAACUCUCAAACCACAUAAGAUAAAAUCAAGAUCCUUACAUCAAAAUAAACAUGAAUGAGUUUAGAUUAAGCACAAAAAAUUUCAGAUCAAAUGGACAAUGC
rnacentral:lncRNA from 1 species